rnacentral:rRNA from 1 species
GUAGGGAAUAUUGCGCAAUGGGGGAAACCCUGACGCAGCGACGCCGCGUGAGUGAUGAAGGCCUUCGGGUCGUAAAGCUCUGUUGCAGGGGAAUAAAAAAAUGAAGGUGCCCUGUGAGGAAGGAUCGGCUAACUUCGUGCCAGCAGCCGCGGUAAGACGAGGGAUCCUAGCGUUGCUCGGAAUCAUUGGGCGUAAAGAGGGCGUAGGUGGCUUGGUAAGUCAGGUGUGAAAGCCCAGGGCUCAACCCUGGAAGUGCAUUUGAUACUGCUGAGCUUGAGUGUCGGAGAGGUUACCGGAAUACCUGGUGUAGUGGUGAAAUACGUAGAUAUCAGGUGGAACACCGGAGGCGAAGGCGGGUAACUGGACGAACACUGACACUGAGGCCCGAAAGCGUGGGGAUCAAACAGGAUUAGAAACCCUAGUAGUCC